UUCUGGCUCAGGAUGAACGCUAGCGGCAGGCUUAACACAUGCAAGGUCGAGGGGCAGCGCGAGGUAGCAAUACUUGGCGGCGACCGGCGCAAGGGUGCGUAACGCGUGAGCAACAUGCCCGUAUCAGGGGGAUAAUCCAGGGAAACUUGGUCUAAUACCCCAUAGUAAUUUUGUAAGGCAUCUUAUAAGAUUUAAAGCUUUGGUGGAUACGGAUUGGCUCGCGUGACAUUAGCUGGAUGGUAAGGUAACGGCUUACCAUGGCUAUGAUGUCUAGGGGUUCUGAGAGGAAGGUCCCCCACACUGGAACUGAGACACGGUCCAGACUCCUACGGGAGGCAGCAGUGAGGAAUAUUGGACAAUGGAUGGAAAUCUGAUCCAGCCAUGCCGCGUAGAAGGAAGAAGGUCCUAUGGAUUGUAAACUUCUUUUGUAUGGGAGCAAUAAGGCCUACGAGUAGGUUGAUGAGAGUACCAUACGAAUAAGCACCGGCUAACUCCGUGCCAGCAGCGGC
rnacentral:rRNA from 1 species